AAAUGGUUGAGGUUAUGUGUCACACAGGUCAGCUGACUGGCUCACUCACAACCAGGAAGUUGAAAUUUUCCUAAGUGUCACAUUCUCCCUCAUGUCAUCCUUACCAUGAUGGGUAAGGAUGGAAAAGAGAGAUAGUGGGGGGGGGUACCAUGCUUCUUGAAGUCCAGGUUCAGAACUGACAUUCUGACCUUUGCUUACAUUCCUCCAAUUGGUGAAAGCCACAAGGCUGGAUGGAGAACUUGGAGAUCCACAUUGUUGAAGACUUGGAUCGAGAAGAGUCAAAGAAUGUGGACAUUUGUUUUUCUAUUUGGCUUUGGUAGAAGAAAAUGAAGGUUUGGCACAUGUACAACCGACACCAGUCAAUGGCUCACGGAGCAUUUAGUAAAGGUUACAUCUGGAGGAAUCACACUUCUAUUUCAUCUGGGACUUCGUGGGGUCCCACUAUCCUCUAAGCAUUUGCAGAUGGCGUCAUCAUUUGUCACUUGAGCUCUAGAAGUGCUUCAGGAUGUCCUGUUUCAGUACAACUAUUUGUCUCUGGAGCGUGAACGUCCCCAACUUUGUCUUGCUGAGCUCACACCAGGUUCCCUACGAAGAAGACAGCCUCACUACUUCUAUACACAGGCAACGUUCUACACAGUUGUGGUUUUCUUUCUAGUGGUUCCUCGUCAAUUAAUCCAUUCUUGAUUAAUUGAAGUCAUUAGUGAUCAAUACAAAUUCACGCUUAUUAAGUGCUCAAUUGUGUGAAAAAAACUCACAAAGCCAUGCUCCUCCAUAUAUUUUCUUGGAGCAUUCAUUUUAGAGGAUGGUAAUGAACGUUUAUCAGAUAUUAAAGGGCUCCUAGUCAAAUAUGCUUGGAGGUACUCAGGUGUCCCAGCAGAAUGAUCUGGCAGAAUAACCAGGCUCUCAAUUACCAGACAAAAUAGGUUUGUGCAGGAAGGAUCCAAAUGGAAGGGAGAGCCUACUCCCAAUACCAUAGUCCUUCACUCCACCCUCUGCAGACAUGGCUGCUUCUCUUACAUUCUUACACUAAGGCCUGGGGAGAUUCAUAUCUUGGUAGCAAAACAAUUGCAGACCAUGCUUUUGCUCCAUCUCUAGACUGUCAGGGACUUGUGGGUGGGGGUGUGUCCAUAUUCAUUUUAGCUUCUCUACGGCAAAGCAUUUCUGUGGUGCUAUUUGCCCAUCACUGACAUUUCUAGGGUCUUAGGUCUAUACCCACAACAUGAAUCUUGUGUCAUUUCAAUUUCUUAUUAUUGGUGACCUCUUAAACACUCUGUUAAUGACUUUGUUAGUGAUCAUGAAACCCUCACACAACACUUCAGCAGCAUAGCGUGCCUUGAUCUGUUCCUGCCUACUCUUUCCUGUAGACCUUAGAUCCAGGAGCCAAGCAAACCUCAGGCUCUAGCCCACUGGAGUUAUGGAGCCUAUGCUAGAAGUUAAAUUUAGAAGAAGAUCAUUGGGAUAUAUAGAGGAAAGGAAGAGCCAGUUGUUUGACUGCUGACCAGAGUUCUUUGGUCUGUGAGAAAGUCUCUGGGUUGAAUCUUUCAUUCCCAAAAUAGCUGCUAUAAUAGCGUUGUGCUGUGAUUAUUGAAAGCUUGAGUUAGCAAUUGAUUUUUAGCCUGAGAGAUCAAUGUGAAAAGAGAUUGCAACCCAGGAUUAUGAAGAAGCCAUCUGUGACCCCUGCACUCAUGAAGCAGCAACAUUCACCCUAGCCAGAGACAUCACCACCUUAUAAACAUCAUAGGUCUGUGGUGUGUUUGUGCCACUGUAAACUCUUUAGGGGUCACGACUGGUGUUUGUCAAAUAGCAACUGACCUAUGGUAGAUGUUGGGUGUGAUGCUCCCAGCAGGCCCUCCUGUCACCUGAAGUGACAAAGUAGAGCAGUUAUAUUAGUUGGCCACUACAUUCACAGAGUGACAAACAGGGUUGUAAACCUAUGCUAAUGCCAACAAAGAGUCUAAGUCUUGCAGAGUUAAUGGGGACCUCUUUAUGCACUUAGAGCUCUAGAUGCGUCAGUGUUCUAACAAUCAGCUCUGUACAGCAGUGUUCCCUGGUGCCCAGGCAGCCCUGGUAGCCUUGGUCUUGAAGGGAUUUUCUGUUCUCAAUCUUCAAAUGUCUUUACUCUGUGUUCAUUUCAGGUAACCCCAAAUGUCAUGACAGCCCAUCUAUCAAAAACUUCCAAAUGAAGAAUACCCAUCAGUGAAUACAAGUUAUCUUGGUUUAGACGUCCCCACAGCAGCGCGGAGACAAGAAGGCAGUGAAGAAAUACUUUCAAACUGCUACAAGAAAAAUAAUUUCCAAUGCAGUAUUAGAAAACUGGAUUUAAAGAGACGAGGCAGAUUGCACAAGGAAGCACACAGGAAAGACUGCAUAGUCUCAGUGACCGACUUGUAGUGUCCCCUGAGUGCCUUCAGCAGUUUCACUGGGGUGAAGGUCUACUCAAACUGAAGGAAUCUGAGUUAGUUCAAGUAAAGACAAAUCCCGUGAGUGAGGGUUUCCUGGGAACUGCCAC
ensembl:lncRNA